rnacentral:rRNA from 1 species
AGAGUUUGAUCAUGGCUCAGAACGAACGCUGGCGGCAGGCUUAACACAUGCAAGUCGAGCGCCCCGCAAGGGGAGCGGCAGACGGGUGAGUAACGCGUGGGAACGUGCCCUUUGGUUCGGAACAACUCCGGGAAACUGGAGCUAAUACCGGAUAAGCCCUUCGGGGGAAAGAUUUAUCGCCAAAGGAUCGGCCGCGUCUGAUUAGCUAGUUGGUGAGGUAAUGGCUCACCAAGGCGACGAUCAGUAGCUGGUCUGAGAGGAUGAUCAGCCACACUGGGACUGAGACACGGCCCAGACUCCUACGGGAGGCAGCAGUGGGAAUAUUGGACAAUGGCGCAAGCCUGAUCCAGCCAUGCCGCGUGAGUGAUGAAGGCCUUAGGGUUGUAAAGCUCUUUGUCCGGGAAGAUAAUGACUGUACCGGAAGAAUAAGCCCGGCUAACUUCGUG